rnacentral:rRNA from 1 species
UACGUAGGGAGCAAGCGUUGUCCGGAAUCAUUGGGCGUAAAGCGCGCGUAGGUGGCCUCAUAAGUCCGCUGUGAAAGUCAAAGGCUCAACCUUUGAAAGCCGGUGGAUACUGUGGGGCUAGAGUACGGAAGAGGCGAGUGGAAUUCCUGGUGUAGCGGUGGAAUGCGCAGAUAUCAGGAGGAACACCUAUUGCGAAGGCAGCUCGCUGGGACGUUACUGACGCUGAGACGCGAAAGCGUGGGGAGCAAACAGG